CCUACGGGGUGCACCAGUGGGGAAUAUUGCACAAUGGACGCAAGCCUGAUGCAGCCAUGCCGCGUGUGUGAAGAAGGCCUUCGGGUUGUAAAGCACUUUCAGCGGGGAGGAAGGCGAUAAGGUUAAUAACCUUGUCGAUUGACGUUACCCGCAGAAGAAGCACCGGCUAACUCGGUGCCAGCAGCCGCGGUAAUACGGAGGGUGCUAGCGUUAAUCGGAAUUACUGGGCGUAAAGCGCACGCAGGCGGUCUGUCAAGUCGGAUGUGAAAUCCCCGGGCUCAACCUGGUAACUGCAUUCGAAACUGGCAGGCUAGAGUCUUGUAGAGGGGGGUAGAAUUCCAGGUGUAGCGGUGAAAUGCGUAGAGAUCUGGAGGAAUACCGGUGGCGAAGGCGGCCCCCUGGACAAAGACUGACGCUCAGGUGCGAAAGCGUGGGGAGCAAAUAGGAUUAGAUACCCUCGUAGUC
rnacentral:rRNA from 1 species